rnacentral:tRNA from 1 species
GGUAGCUCAGUUGGGAGAGCAUCUGCCUUACAAGCAGAGGGUCAGCGGUUCGAUCCCGUUAACUCCCA